rnacentral:rRNA from 1 species
GACGAACGCUGGCGGCGUGCUUAACACAUGCAAGUCGAACGGACAGGCCCUGCUUUUGUGGGUUGCUCGAGUGCCGAACGGGUGUGUAACACGUGAGUAUCCUGCCCUUGUCUUUGUGAUAACUUCAGGAAACUGCGGCUCAUAUCGGAUAGGAGCUCCUGCUCCAUGGUGGUGGUUGGUAAGUUCCGGCGGUUGUGGAUGGACUCGCAGCUUAUCAGCUUGUUUGUGUGGUUGUGGCUUACCAAGGCUUUGACGGGUAGCCGGCCUGAGAGGGUGACCGGCCACAUUGGGACUGAGAUAGGGAGCAGACGGCUACGGGAGGCAGCAGUGGGGAAUAUUGCACAAUGGGCGGAAGCCUGAUGCAGCAACGCCGCGUGCGGGAUGACGGCCUUCGAGGUGUAAACCGCUUUCGAAUGUGACGAAGCGUGCGUGACGGUAAUGGGUAAAGAAGCACCGGCUAACUACGUG